GUAACCAUAGUAUAGUGGUUAUCAUAUCUGCUUUAUAUGCAGAAGGUCCUGAGUUCAAGCCUCAGUAGAACCA
rnacentral:tRNA from 1 species